UCAAACCUCAAGCCUGGCUUGGUGAUGGGGCACUGCUUCUUACCCAAGAAGCAGGCCCUGAAAUUCAGUGGCGAGCUCGCCAGGACCCCGAGCGCAGUAGUUAAACCCUCGCUCUGGAAGGCCCUGGCGGUGCCCUGCCGUUAAACCCCCAACUUCUGAAAAUUUGACCUCGGAUCAGGUA
rnacentral:misc_RNA from 1 species